rnacentral:rRNA from 1 species
UACAGAGGUCCCAAGCGUUGUUCGGAUUCACUGGGCGUAAAGGGGGCUUAGGUGGGGAGGUAAGUCGGAUGUGAAAUCUCCGAGCUCAACUCGGAAAUGGCAUUGGAAACUACCUUGCUCGAGGGUUGGAGGGGGGACUGGAAUGCUUGGUGUAGCAGUGAAAUGCGUAGAUAUCAAGCGGAACACCAGUGGCGAAGGCGAGUCCCUGGACAACUCCUGACACUGAGGCACGAAAGCUAGGGGAGCAAACAGG